GCUUUUAACGCUAUUUGAAUUGCAUUUAUCCUUUUAAGCCUAUUUUUAUUUUAUUUUAUUUAUUUAUUUUUUUUUAUUUGACAGAUAGAGUUAGACAGUGGGAGAGAGAGACAGAAAGGUCUUCCUUCCGUUGGUUCAUUCCCCAAAUGGCCACUACGGCCGGAGCUACGCCAAUUCGAAGCCAGGAGCCAGGUGAUUCCUCCUGGCCUCCCAUGCGGGUGCACUGCCUUCCCAGGCCACAGCAGAGAGCUGUUCUGGAAGAGGAGCAACCGGGACUAGAACACAGCGUCCAUAUGGGAUGCCGGUGCCGCAGGCAGAUGAUUAACCAAGAGGAUCACAGUUGUUUGCUUUUGGUAUCUUUGGUUCCAUAGUUUGUACCAGAUGAAGAAGGUGUUGUUCAUUUACUUUUAGCCUCCUGUAAGUCAAAGGAUGAUUAAAAUUCAUGAAGAAUUAUUAAGAAGAGGUAAUUAACUGGUCUGCAUUAAGGCGAGUUGUGCUGACAGUGAUGUUAUUUAAAGAUGGGGGAGCAGUGAAUAACAGUAAUAUAAUAACAGUAACAUAAUUGUCAAAAAUAUUUUGAGUUUUCUGAGUCUGAUUUUUGAGUUUAGGAUUUCCUUUAUCUCUGCAAUGUUGUUGGGUAGUCUCCACAUGCCUUCAUAUUUUCAAUUUGCUUACUCAUUCCUUUCAUCAGUUCUCUAACUUCCUGUAAAAUCAUCCUUCUUCCAAUGAAUACCUUAAUGGUAGCAAAGUUGAGAUGUUGUUUGACAUUAAUGUCUGAAAAUGCAUAUAAAGUAAAUCCUGUAAGUCCAUUCUUAUUCCUUAUGUGAGAACAGACAUAUACACCAAGAUGGUGUCCCAUAGGGAUAAAUUGAUCCUGUUUAUAAGCUGGAGGCAAAUCUGGGAUUUGAGAAAGGUUAGCAUCAGUGAUCCGUAUCUAGACCUCCAUUCUGUGUGAGUGUCCUGCUUGGGUUCAGUGCCACAUAGGCAGUCUCCUUGUUGGGUCUUCAGCAACUCUUAUUAGGGGUGGGGCUAUUUAUAUGCCCACAAUACCCUGGUCCUAGUGCUUAUCUUUUUCCUACCUACUUUGAAAGCUGACUUACUCUGGACAUUUUGCUCUCAAGAUCUUAGUCUCUAAGAUUAACUAUGAUCUUUUAAAUUAUUUGUGUAAAAACAUUGAUGAAGGAUAAUAGCUUA